rnacentral:lncRNA from 1 species
CCCCCCCCCCCCCCCCCCCCCCCCCCCCCCCCCCCCCCCCCCCCCCCCCCCCCCCCCCCCCCCCCCCCCCCCCCCCCCCCCCCCCCCCCCCCCCCCCGCCGUGUCAACCGGAGCGGAGCCCUCAGUGCCGUCAAACCUUUGCAUAAACACCGCCAGGGCGGUGAUUCCACCACCUCCCGGGGAAGUGCGUUCCGGUAUUUAUUACGCUUUCUGGGAAUAAAUCCUUUUUAAUGUCCAACCUAAACCUGUCCUAGUGCAGCUUAAGGCUUUGUCAUGUCCUGUCUCUGUUCCCUGUUCCCAGAGCCCGACCCUCCCGGCUGUCUCCUCCUGUCAGGGAGCUGUGCAGAGCCACAAGGGUCUCCCUGAGCCUCCUUUUCUCCCCUUUCCCAGCUCCCUCAGUCCCUCCUGGGACUCCAGACCCUUCCCCAGCUCCAUCCCGUUCUCUGGACUCACGGAGAGGCCCAGGAUGGGCACAGGACUGGUGCUGUGGCCUCCCCAGAGCACAGGGGUCAGCGGGCGGCCUCACCCUCCGAGCUGUGACCCCCUCGGUAUGUGGGGUGGCCUCAGUAAAAAUGAGCGAUUACGCGGCCUCACCCUCCGAGCUGUGACCCCCUCGAUAUGCGGGGUGGCCUCAGUAAAAAUGAGCGAUUAUUGCUUUGCUUCCACUCCUGCAAAGAGCUCUGCAAGCAUAGAAGGCAUCCACCAGAUUGCAGGAAGAUGGAUUCUCCAGCCAGUUCCGCCACCACAGGCUGCGGAUCCCGAGCCCAUUGAACCCUCCAGGACCUGGACACUGGACCUGCCGUCCUGCCUUCUCCCUUAUCUCGGUGCUUGGCAGGUGCCAUGGAUUUCACACUUCCACUGACCUCUGAGCGCUGCCAAAGCCAGGGAGGCACAUCGGGCAGAUAACGUGUCCCCAGUGUCCCCAUUCCACCUCUGCCUUCCCGAGUCCCUUAGGCUCUGGGGAGAGUUACUUAAAAAUAUGCCAGAUUUAAGGUCUGUCUGAAGUCAAAUAAAAAUUCUGCAUUGUUUAAAUCACAUUUCCGUGGCCUUCAUAUUUAAUAAAGGAGUUGUAUUCUUGUAGCAUAAAAAUCUAAAUGACACAUAGAGCACGUAUACUAUCUACUACACGUAUUUUACUUUCAUAUACAGUACGCCUGCAUAAUUUCCCAUCAAAUUUCCAUUUUGGAGGUUUCCAUGAAUUAGAAGCAAACCCAUGACCUUGAAAAUAAGUUACAUAAGCAGCAUGGAUACACCGUGAAUCGCGGAGUCGUUUGGGUUCUGAAAGACCCUUAAAGAUCAUGGACUAGCAGUGAAUUGCAGGCUGUUAAAUGCUUUAUUAAUCACCAAUUCCCGGCCGCAAAAUCUUGAUGGUGACUAGCAGAGCCCACAUUCAGAAAGCAGAGCAGCACUAGCAAGUUUUUUAAUCCAAGGUGCAAGCCGUGUAGGCUGGGAGCGUUACACAAGCGCAGCCGGGAUGGCGAGGCCACGGAGAAACGAGGUUCUUGCCUCAUUUUUGGGUCACAGACACUUGUUGCUACUUCUUGGGGGAAAAAAAAAAAAAAAAAAGACCCCCCCCUUGGGGGAAAAAAAAAAAAAAAAACGAGCAGAGCGGCGGUGAUUUUGUGGAGAUGCGGCGAAGCGCGCGAAGCGAUGGCUCCUGCCGGUGCCGACGCGGUGUCUGGUGACCUUUAGAGGUGACAGGGACCGCGCUGGCGCUCUCGGGUGCCCGCUGCCCCAUUCAUCCCGCACCGCCCGCGCCCUCCCCGUGCCCCCGGCGCUGCCGCUCCCCGGGCCGUCCCCGCUGUCCCCACCGCCCCUCGGCGGGCCCCCCCCCCCCCCCCCCCCCCCCCCCCCCCCCCCCCCCCCCCCCCCCCCCCCCCCCCCCCCCCCCCCCCCCCCCCCCCCCCCCCCCCCCC